rnacentral:rRNA from 1 species
CAACAGGGAUUGCCUCAGUAACGGCGAGUGAAGCGGCAACAGCUCAAAUUUGAAAUCUGGCUCCUUCGGGGCCCGAGUUGUAAUUUGCAGAGGAUGCGUCGGGUACGGGUGCCUUCCGAGUUCCCUGGAACGGGACGCCAUAGAGGGUGAGAGCCCCGUCUGGUAGGACACCCAGCCCGUGUGACGCUCCCUCGACGAGUCGAGUAGUUUGGGAAUGCUGCUCUAACGGGAGGUAUACUCCUUCCAAGGCUAAAUACCGGCUGGAGACCGAUAGCGCACAAGUAGAGUGAUCGAAAGAUGAAAAGCACUUUGAAAAGAGAGUCAAACAGCACGUGAAAUUGUUAAAAGGGAAGCGCUCGCUACCAGACUUGGGUUCGGCGGUUCAACCGGGGCCACGCCCCGGGGCAUUCCGCCGGCCCAGGCCAGCAUCAGCUUUCCGUCGGGGGUAAAGGCGUCGGGAAUGUGGCUCCCCUUCGGGGGAGUGUUAUAGCCCGUCGUGUCAUACCCUUCGGGGGGCUGAGGUACGCGCUUCUGCAAGGAU